UACUAGAGUAGCACUCGCAUAUCAAUAAGCGGAGGAAAAGAAACUAACAAGGAUUCCCCUAGUAACGGCGAGUGAAGCGGGAAGAGCUCAAAUUUGAAAUCUUAAAGGGUUUCCCUUUACGAAUUGUAGUUUAAAGAAGUGUUUUCUGUUGAGGUUUUGGUAAAAGUUCUUUGGAAUAGGACAUCAUAGAGGGUGAGAAUCCCGUAUUUGACCUUUACUUUCAACUUUGUGAUACACUUUCAAAGAGUCGGAUUGUUUGGGAAUGCAGUCCAAAAUGGGUGGUAAAUUUCAUCUAAAGCUAAAUAUUGGCGAGAGACCGAUAGCGAACAAGUACCGUGAGGGAAAGAUGAAAAGAACUUUGAAAAGAGAGUUAAACAGUACGUGAAAUUGUCAAAAGGGAAGCGUUUGACACCAGUGUUGUUUUUCUGAAAAUCAAUUAAAGAGCUGUUUAUGCUAAGUUGUUUAGACUUUAUCAGCUAUCUGUUUAGUUUUGAGCUUUUCUUUAAUGCACUUUUCAGUUAACAAGUCAACAUCAAUUUCUUUUGCUGUAAAAAAGCUUGAGGAAGGUGGCUUGAGAUUCGUCUUAAGUGUUUAUAGCCUCUUGCCUAUGCAGUCGGAGAGAUUGAGGUCUGCAGCGUAGAUCCUUCGGGGCUAAAUGCAUUUGUGCUAAGUUAUAGCAUUUUAUAGACAACUUGUUGACUAUGAUUUGUCUUGUAGCUUACUCGCUUAUGUUAUUUUACCUACGCUUAGGAUGUUGAUCUACAGAGCGAGAGU
rnacentral:rRNA from 1 species